GAUCCAGUGGCCUAGUAGUUAGAGCGUAUGCCAUGGAUGCGUGAGGUCGUGGGUUCAAUCCCCAAUCGAGUCA